GACGAACGCUGGCGGCGUGCUUAACACAUGCAAGUCGAACGGAAAGGCCCUGCUUUUGUGGGGUGCUCGAGUGGCGAACGGGUGAGUAACACGUGAGUAACCUGCCCUUGACUCUGGGAUAACUUCAGGAAACUGGGGCUAAUACCGGAUAGGAGCUCCUGCUGCAUGGUGGGGGUUGGAAAGUUUCGGCGGUUGGGGAUGGACUCGCGGCUUAUCAGCUUGUUGGUGGGGUAGUGGCUUACCAAGGCUUUGACGGGUAGCCGGCCUGAGAGGGUGACCGGCCACAUUGGGACUGAGAUACGGCCCAGACUCGUACGGGAGGCAGCGGUGGGGACGAUUGCACAAUGGGCGGAAGCCUGGUGCAGCAACGCCGCGUGCGGGAUGAAGGCCUUCGGGUUGUAAACCGCUUUGGCCUGUGACGAAGCGUGAGUGACGGUAAUGGGUAAAGAAGCACCGGCUAACUACGUG
rnacentral:rRNA from 1 species